UGCAGUCGAACGGUACAGGUCUUCGGAUGCUGACGAGUGGCGAACGGGUGAGUAAUACAUCGGAACGUGCCCGAGAGUGGGGGAUAACGAAGCGAAAGCUUUGCUAAUACCGCAUACGAUCUCAGGAUGAAAGCAGGGGACCGCAAGGCCUUGCGCUCACGGAGCGGCCGAUGGCAGAUUAGGUAGUUGGUGGGAUAAAAGCUUACCAAGCCGACGAUCUGUAGCUGGUCUGAGAGGACGACCAGCCACACUGGGACUGAGACACGGCCCAGACUCCUACGGGAGGCAGCAGUGGGGAAUUUUGGACAAUGGGCGCAAGCCUGAUCCAGCCAUGCCGCGUGCAGGAUGAAGGCCUUCGGGUUGUAAACUGCUUUUGUACGGAACGAAAAGACUCUGGUUAAUACCUGGGGUCCAUGACGGUACCGUAAGAAUAAGCACCGGCUAACUACGUGCCAGCAGCCGCGGUAAUACGUAGGGUGCGAGCGUUAAUCGGAAUUACUGGGCGUAAAGCGUGCGCAGGCGGUUAUAUAAGACAGAUGUGAAAUCCCCGGGCUCAACCUGGGAACUGCAUUUGUGACUGUAUAGCUAGAGUACGGCAGAGGGGGAUGGAAUUCCGCGUGUAGCAGUGAAAUGCGUAGAUAUGCGGAGGAACACCGAUGGCGAAGGCAAUCCCCUGGGCCUGUACUGACGCUCAUGCACGAAAGC
rnacentral:rRNA from 1 species